GUAAGAUAGAAAAUUUUCAUUUGUAAUUUGAAAUUACAAAAAUUGCUUCAUUAGCAAGUCUUAUU
rnacentral:tRNA from 1 species